AUCGGUAGACUCUUCAUCUACAAUAGCAAAUACAAAUAAAAAAAUUUGAUUAUUUCCAUCAACAAUAGGUGCAACAUCAACUUCUCUCGAUAUUUUCCAUCCAAAAAUGUAGCAUCAAUAUUGAUUACUGAUCUACAGUAUUUAAAGCCUUCAAUCAAUAAUGUAAAGGCUCAAAAAAUAUGAUCAAAUGCAGCACAUGCUGGAUGAUCGAUAGGAGUGCUAAUAAAUUUUACUUAA
rnacentral:lncRNA from 1 species